rnacentral:rRNA from 1 species
GACGAACCGUGCAAACGUUGUUCGGAAUCACUGGGCUUAAAGGGCGCGUAGGCGGGCCAGCCAGUCUGUGGUGAAAGCCUCCAGCUUAACUGGAGAAGUGCCGUGGAUACUGCUGGCCUCGGAGGAGGAUAGGGGGCAUCUGGAACGGUCGGUGGAGCGGUGAAAUGCGUUGAUAUCGACCGGAACUCCGGUGGCGAAGGCGAGGUGCUGGGUCCUUUCUGACGCUGAUGCGCGAAAGCCAGGGGAGCAAACGGG